rnacentral:misc_RNA from 1 species
CACCAAAAGCCAAACAGGGUUUGUCUCCCACGGAUACCACCGACGCCACUGCUCUCUGUACGUGUGCGUGUGGGUAGGGGCGCCCUCUCCGAUGUAGAAGAACGACACGAGUCGAACGGCAGGAGCACUGCAGACGGCCCUAUGACACUUGCCCAGUCGCAGCGGCGUCGACGCUGCGCUUCGUCCGUUAUCCCAGCAGGGGCGCGCAAGAGCGAAGGCACAUGUGCGAGAAGGAGGCGGAGAGUGUGGCCUUUCAACAGCUGGAGGCCGAGGAGGAGAUGCGGUCGGGCUCUCGCCGAGAGAGCGUGCGAGAGAUGUCUCGACCUCCCCGCUUCUUACGUCCCUCACGCGCGCACUCUUGCACCGCUGCUCCCCCCCUCCCACAAACACAGGCACACGCACAUCUGCGCUCCUCAACGCCUGCAGCUGCCAACACCGCAGCACGGCAGCACCACGCUCAUUUACACCCCACCACCACCACACAUAGUUGCGCGCACGGCACUGCCACAGCGCUAUGGUGCUCAUGCUGCCAACUGACUGCCUGCGGGCGUACGCCGCUCUCUCCCUGUAGGUUCACCGGUGGGUCUUGCACACGCGCCGACUCACGAAACGCACCCAGCAAGCUCACCGCUGCCUCCGGCUGCGCGAGGCCAGUGGAGUACAAGGCCGUCUGCGGAGCCUGGAGAACGGCGACGGUAGCACGAGAGAUCUUCAAGGAUACGUUCUACACGCGUCACGGCGUCAACGUUCCUGCCACCGGCAGUCCCUUGGUGAUCGAUAUGGACUUUAAGGUUGGUCUCUGUAGCAUUUUGGUGCUAGAAGUGAAUCCACAGGCCGUCGUCCUGGCAGCCGAGCCGAUUCUUCGCCUGUGUGCGCUGGUAAAGGAGAAUACGGCACGCUACAGGCAGCGCGUGCGGGUGGCGCAAGUUGGCGCGUCGGCCGCAUCCGUGGCCGGCGCCCAGUUCCUUGCUGACCCGCGCGUGGAAGGCCGCCCCUCGCUGCACGUAGCUGUCGGUGAUGGCCCGCGGCAACGUCGCCUCGGGCAACUUGCCUGCGCAACCGACCCUGAUCCUGGGCUCGUUGCUCGAGACACCUGCUCUGCAGUGGAUUGCCAGACUCCUGCUUAUGCCGGCGCUGGCACUGCUCCUUAUCAUUUUCCUCGCGUCUCCGUCGCAGAGGAGGCGCGAGCAGUGCGGCUGCGUGUCUUUCGCCGAUCUCCUCGAGCGAUCAACGUCCCGCAAGGCAGACGUUGCGAUGUGUCGCCGCGCUACAGGCGGGUCAAUCGCUCCGGUCAAGGGGGACGUCGAGGGGUCCGAGUGGGACGUUCUGCAGGGCAUUGCCGAUUCGGAGUGGCGGCGCAUCGAGCAGCUGGUCGUCGACGUGCACGGCAUUGAAGACAGGGUGCUCCGCGUCGAACAGCUGUUGAAGGCGAAGGGCUGUCAAGAGGUGCACAUCGCACCGGGGGAGUGGUCAUCACGUAAGGAGUUACGCAUCCACGCUGUCUCCCUAUGUCCACCCCGCAGGUGGAAGAGGCGGAAAGCGGCAAGGUGCGGAGGAACGACGCCCGAUUCCAGUCCCAGACCUGUCUCGAUGAGCAUGGCACUUGCGCUCGUGCAUCUGUGCACAUUGCUGCUCGGGCGGCUCCUCAUCAUAAGUGAGCUCGUGCCCGUCUGUGUCUCUGACCGUUUACAGCAACGCCUCCGCUGCCCUCACUCUCGCUCACGCCUUUGCUAACGCAGUUCAUACCUGAUGGCUCCAGAGGGGGCCGACGUGUGAGUCGAAGAAGUGUAGACAAUCACAACGAAGAGGUGGAGGUGCGCACGCUCCGCCUCCUUC